rnacentral:rRNA from 1 species
AACGAACGCUGGCGGCAUGCCUAACACAUGCAAGUCGAACGAGACCUUCGGGUCUAGUGGCGCACGGGUGCGUAACGCGUGGGAACCUGCCCUUAGGUUCGGAAUAACUCCCCGAAAGGGGUGCUAAUACCGGAUAAUGUCUUCGGACCAAAGAUUUAUCGCCUUUGGAUGGGCCCGCGGUGGAUUAGCUAGUUGGUAGGGUAAAAGCCUACCAAGGCUACGAUCGAUAGCCGGCCUGAGCGGAGGAUCGGCCACACUGGGACUGAGACACGGCCCAGAAUGGUAAGGGAGGCAGCAGGGGGGAAGAUUGGAAAAUGGGAGAACGCGUGAUCCAGCAACGCAGAGUGAGGGAUGAAGGCCUUCGGGUUGUAAACAUCUUUCGCCUGCCACGAAGCGAGCGUGACGGUGGCAGGUAAAGAAGCACCGGCCAACUCCGUG